AUUGAACGCUGGCGGCAUGCUUUACACAUGCAAGUCGAACGGACUUGAAGGGCUUGCUCUUCAAGUUAGUGGCGAACGGGUGAGUAAUACAUCGGAACGUGCCCAGUAAUGGGGGAUAACCUGCCGAAAGGCAAGCUAAUACCGCAUACGCCCUGAGGGGGAAAGUGGGGGACUCGUAAGAGCCUCACGUUAUUGGAGCGGCCGAUGCCUGAUUAGCUAGUUGGUAGGGUAAAAGCCUACCAAGGCAACGAUCAGUAGCGGGUCUGAGAGGACGACCCGCCACACUGGGACUGAGACACGGCCCAGACUCCUACGGGAGGCAGCAGUGGGGAAUCUUGGACAAUGGGCGAAAGCCUGAUCCAGCAAUGCCGCGUGGGUGAAGAAGGCCUCGGUUG
rnacentral:rRNA from 1 species